AAAUUGAAGAGUUUGAUCAUGGCUCAGAUUGAACGCUGGCGGCAGGCCUAACACAUGCAAGUCGAGCGGUAGCACAGAGAGCUUGCUCUCGGGUGACGAGCGGCGGACGGGUGAGUAAUGUCUGGGAAACUGCCUGAUGGAGGGGGAUAACUACUGGAAACGGUAGCUAAUACCGCAUAACGUCGCAAGACCAAAGUGGGGGACCUUCGGGCCUCAUGCCAUCAGAUGUGCCCAGAUGGGAUUAGCUAGUAGGUGGGGUAACGGCUCACCUAGGCGACGAUCCCUAGCUGGUCUGAGAGGAUGACCAGCCACACUGGAACUGAGACACGGUCCAGACUCCUACGGGAGGCAGCAGUGGGGAAUAUUGCACAAUGGGCGCAAGCCUGAUGCAGCCAUGCCGCGUGUGUGAAGAAGGCCUUCGGGUUGUAAAGCACUUUCAGCGGGGAGGAAGGCGGUGAGGUUAAUAACCUCACCGAUUGACGUUACCCGCAGAAGAAGCACCGGCUAACUCCGUGCCAGCAGCCGCGGUAAUACGGAGGGUGCAAGCGUUAAUCGGAAUUACUGGGCGUAAAGCGCACGCAGGCGGUCUGUCAAGUCGGAUGUGAAAUCCCCGGGCUCAACCUGGGAACUGCAUUCGAAACUGGCAGGCUAGAGUCUUGUAGAGGGGGGUAGAAUUCCAGGUGUAGCGGUGAAAUGCGUAGAGAUCUGGAGGAAUACCGGUGGCGAAGGCGGCCCCCUGGACAAAGACUGACGCUCAGGUGCGAAAGCGUGGGGAGCAAACAGGAUUAGAUACCCUGGUAGUCCACGCCGUAAACGAUGUCGAUUUGGAGGUUGUGCCCUUGAGGCGUGGCUUCCGGAGCUAACGCGUUAAAUCGACCGCCUGGGGAGUACGGCCGCAAGGUUAAAACUCAAAUGAAUUGACGGGGGCCCGCACAAGCGGUGGAGCAUGUGGUUUAAUUCGAUGCAACGCGAAGAACCUUACCUGGUCUUGACAUCCACAGAACUUUCCAGAGAUGGAUUGGUGCCUUCGGGAACUGUGAGACAGGUGCUGCAUGGCUGUCGUCAGCUCGUGUUGUGAAAUGUUGGGUUAAGUCCCGCAACGAGCGCAACCCUUAUCCUUUGUUGCCAGCGGUUCGGCCGGGAACUCAAAGGAGACUGCCAGUGAUAAACUGGAGGAAGGUGGGGAUGACGUCAAGUCAUCAUGGCCCUUACGACCAGGGCUACACACGUGCUACAAUGGCAUAUACAAAGAGAAGCGACCUCGCGAGAGCAAGCGGACCUCAUAAAGUAUGUCGUAGUCCGGAUUGGAGUCUGCAACUCGACUCCAUGAAGUCGGAAUCGCUAGUAAUCGUAGAUCAGAAUGCUACGGUGAAUACGUUCCCGGGCCUUGUACACACCGCCCGUCACACCAUGGGAGUGGGUUGCAAAAGAAGUAGGUAGCUUAACCUUCGGGAGGGCGCUUACCACUUUGUGAUUCAUGACUGGGGUGAAGUCGUAACAAGGUAACCGUAGGGGAACCUGCGGUUGGAUCACCUCCUUACCUUAAAGAA
rnacentral:rRNA from 2 species